rnacentral:rRNA from 1 species
UACGGAGGGUGCAAGCGUUGUUCGGAAUCAUUGGGCGUAAAGGGCGCGUAGGCGGUUCGGUAAGUCGGGUGUGAAAGCCCCGGGCUCAACCCGGGAAGUGCAUCCGAAACUGCCGGACUUGAGUACGGGAGGGGGAAGUGGAAUUCCUGGUGUAGGGGUGAAAUCCGUAGAUAUCAGGAGGAACACCGGUGGCGAAGGCGACUUCCUGGACCGAUACUGACGCUGAGGCGCGAAAGCGUGGGGAGCAAACAGG